rnacentral:rRNA from 1 species
AACGAACGCUGGCGGCGUGCCUAACACAUGCAAGUCGAACGAGAAUCCGGGCUUCGGUCCGGUAGUAAAGUGGCGCACGGGUGAGUAACACGUGGGUAACGUGCCUUAUAGUGGGGGAUAACCAGGUGAAAGCUUGGCUAAUACCGGCAUGAGUCCGUCGGGACGCCGGUCCUGACGGGGAAGUGGAGCAAUCCACGCUAUGAGAUCGGCCCGCGGCCCAUUAGCUAGUUGGCGGGGUAACGGCCCACCAAGGCGACGAUGGGUAGCUGGUCUGAGAGGAUGAUCAGCCACACUGGGACUGAGACACGGCCCAGACUCCUACGGGAGGCAGCAGUGGGGAAUCUUAGACAAUGGGCGCAAGCCUGAUCUAGCCAUGCCGCGUGAGCGAUGAAGGCCUUAGGGUUGUAAAGCUCUUUCAG